UUAUGAUUUGCUCUAGUUGCAUUACAACUCUUUUCAAGUGUAAACUAUCAGAAUUUAACAUUGAGUCAAGUACUAAAAAUUACUACAUAAUUAAGUGUUUAAUUCAUUUUUUGGUUAAACAAUUCAUUCACUUUAGCAACUUAAUCAUGUA